GCUCGACCUCAGAUCAGGUAGGAAUACCCGCUGAACUUAAGCAUAUCAAUAAGCGGAGGAAAAGAAACCAACAGGGAUUGCCUCAGUAGCGGCGAGUGAAGCGGCAAGAGCUCAGAUUUGAAAUCGUGUUUCGGCACGAGUUGUAGAGUGUAGGCGGGAGUCUCUGUGGAGCGCGGUGUCCAAGUCCCCUUGGAACACGGGUGCCUGAGAGGGUGAGAGCCCCCGUGGGGUGCUGCGCGAAGCUUUAGCCCCGUGAAUGGGGU
rnacentral:rRNA from 1 species